UCUUGGUCGGGAGUGGAGGAGUGUGUCUAUGGCAGAGUCCUGUACUGUGACUGCUGUGAGGCAAGCAUGAGAAAGAAAGGAAAAAAAAAGGCAGGGUUGUUUUCCUGCUGUCCAAUAUUUAAUACAGACAGAACACCCAAGAGUUCUGAGCUCAAAGCUGAUUGGCUCAUUUAAAUAGAAGCAAAACAAUCAUCUGGGAGUCCCUCCCCCAAAAACAAAAGAACUUUAAGGGGGUUUCUGUGUAAUCUUAGGCCCAAUUCAAAUUCUUUCCUGCCUCCUUCCCCUUAAUUUGAAGUGGCAGUUGAAGCCGAAGUCGUGUCCGGGAUUAUUAAUUUUUUAAAAUUUCACCCUCCAACCAUAGCGGUCCAAAGUCCACCGUCACGAGGGUAAACCGCGACGCUCUGGGAUACGCUUUUCUUCUCUUUAAAUUCGUAAACUGGCCAAUCAGAUACCUCAACAUACAAGUGUUUGAUUGACAGCUUCUCCAAAACCCACUUUGAAGUGGUGUUCAUGUCCAACAAGUUACUCCUGAUUGAUGGAGUUUUUCCUUGCAGAGUUGAGGGAAGAGGCACAGACGGCACACGGGGGAGAUGUUCUCGAUAAAUUAAGAUUUGACUGCAGUUCUGCUCAGAGCUGCAAAAUCGUCAGCACAGCCUACAAGACCUACCCCCUCCUGCUGAUUUAAGAAACACAUGCCUGCAGGUACAAACAAGAAGAGACACCUCAGCAUCAAGUCGAUGCCAAACUUCAGAAAAACGUCAGUUCUCGUUUGGUGUGGGUGUGUCGGAGGUUGGAAGCGGGCUCUGCAGGAGGAGCUGGAUAAUGAAAACACGCAUCUGCAGAAGUGUGAAGCACAUUUGAGAGCUUUGCUUCUGGAUUACGCUCCCUAGUGUUCGACAUGAGGAAAUUAAACUGCCUGUUUUAUGGAGUUUUCACAAGAGUCUCUAUAGUAACGGAAACACUAAAACUUAACUUGAGAGAAGAUCAGGAACUCUUCUGAUUGAUUCCCGUCUGGAGUUUCUGGAAGACACUGCGAUCUGCCGUGUGUGGAAUUGCUUUGUCUGCUUCAUGCUGCAGCCGCUGAGCCAUGCUGACCUCAGACGGAGGCGUUAAACGAGCCCGCCGGACCUCCUCGUUAUUCGCCUCAUGGAGUAAAACUCAAUGAAAUGUGUAAAAUCUGUUUGCUCCGCUUCCUGUCCCCGCUGAUCCCGCUUCCAUCCAUGAACCAAACCGUGCAGAUCAGUGCCCGCACAGAGGGGGCGGUAACGCAUUUGACUGAUUGAAGACAUGAAAAUGUAGCUUCAGUGUGAACGUUUGAGAGCAGCUUUCAGCUACACCGCCUCGCGCUCUCCAAUCUGCAUUUGACGAACGUGCGGAGGGCAAAUCAAGAGGGACGGUCCUUAACUCAGCCGAGCUUUCAGCUUCAAAGUCCCCCGACGUUUGUGUUGUUAGCGUUAAUGGAAACGCUGUUUGCAGACGUGCAGCUCUUCAGAGCAUAAAUCUGGGAGAGUUUUAUUUGCAGACGCCGCUCUGUUUUGCCUGACUAACGGCGCCAUUACACCGGCUCAUAUUCAAUGCAGUAAAAGCUGAAGGAUGGGGAGCACUUUCCAGCCCAUUUGACCCCCCACCCCCCAUCACCACCACCACCACCACCAGAACUGAAUGACAGAAUAAUUUGACUUAAAUGUGAUGACUGGAGAGCUUUUAUUCUGACUGAUGGACCCGUUAAACACAUUAUGACCUGAUUUACCUGCAAAAACGUCUAUCAUGUAGGAAAGGUUUUUACUUUACUGACUUUAAAUCAUUGGGUGUUUAGAAAAUGAUUGUAUUUCACUGAUAAUAAAACAGUCA